UUAUACAGCGAAACUGCGAAUGGCUCAUUAUAUAAGUUAUCGUUUAUUUGAUAGUACCUUACUACUUGGAUAACCGUGGUAAUUCUAGAGCUAAUACAUGCUUCAAAUCCCGACUUCGGAAGGGAUGUAUUUAUUAGAUUAAAAACCAAUGCCCUCUGGGCUCCUUGGUGAUUCAUAAUAACUUUUCGAAUCGCAUGGCCUUGCGCCGGCGAUGGUUCAUUCAAAUUUCUUCCCUAUCAACUUUCGAUGUUUGGGUAUUGGCCAAACAUGGUUACAACGGGUAACGGAGGGUUAGGGCUCGACCCCGGAGAAGGAGCCUGAGAAACGGCUACUACAUCCAAGGAAGGCAGCAGGCGCGCAAAUUACCCAAUCCCGACUCGGGGAGGUAGUGACAAUAAAUACUGAUACAGGGCUCUUUUGGGUCUUGUAAUUGGAAUGAGUACAAUUUAAAUCCCUUAACGAGGAACAAUUGGAGGGCAAGUCUGGUGCCAGCAGCCGCGGUAAUUCCAGCUCCAAUAGCGUAUAUUAAAGUUGUUGUGGUUAAAAAGCUC
rnacentral:rRNA from 1 species